rnacentral:rRNA from 1 species
AUUAGAUGAGCCUAUAUUAGAUUAGCUAGUUGGUGGGGUAAUAGCCUACCAAGGUAAUGAUCUAUAACUGAUCUGAGAGGAUGAUCAGCCACACUGGAACUGAGAUACGGUCCAGACUCCUACGGGAGGCAGCAGUGGGGAAUAUUGGACAAUGGGCGAAAGCCUGAUCCAGCCAUGCCGCAUGAGUGAAGAAGGCCUUUGGGUUGUAAAGCUCUUUUAGUGAGGAAGAUAAUGACGGUACUCACAGAAGAAGUCCUGGCUAACUCCGUGCCAGCAGCCGCGGUAAUACGGAGAGGGCUAGCGUUAUUCGGAAUUAUUGGGCGUAAAGGGCGCGUAGGCUGGUUAAUAAGUUAAAAGUGAAAUCCCGAGGCUUAACCUUGGAAUUGCUUUUAAAACUAUUAAUCUAGAGAUUGAAAGAGGAUAGAGGAAUUCCUGAUGUAGAGGUAAAAUUCGUAAAUAUUAGGAGGAACACCAGUGGCGAAGGCGUCUAUCUGGUUCAAAUCUGACGCUGAAGCGCGAAGGCGUGGGGAGCAAACAGGACUAGAUACCCUGGUAGUCCACGCUGUAAACGAUGAAUGUUAAAUAUGGGGAG